rnacentral:rRNA from 1 species
AUGGUCGGCAGCACCUCAUCCGGUGCAUCAUCUCCUGAGGCGCCACGCUCACCAACAACGUCGUCAUCGUCGCGCAUCAGUGCGCCCCCGCCGCGGCCCAUGACGCCGAUCUGCGCUACACCAAGCCCGGACCGCUCGGGCGUGGAGUUCGUGUCUCCACCACCGGGGGCGUCUGUGCCGCCACCCGACAAGGAGGCGCCGCGGCGGUACCGCACGCUGGAGAACCUGUGGGACACCACUGAAGAAGGGACAGGUGAUAAUAGUCAGUACAGUUACCUGUGCCUCUUCGCAGGGGAGGAGCCAACCUCCUUCAACGAGGCGCAGAAGGAGGGAGGAUGGAGAAACGCCAUGAACGAGGAGAUGCAGAGCAUCGUCGACAACAACACAUGGGAGCUGUGCGAGCUCCCGCCCGGGCACCGACCGAUAGGCCUCAAGUGGGUCUACAAGCUCAAGAAGGACGCACACGGCACGGUGGUGAAGCGCAAGGCGCGGCUGGUGGCAAAAGGAUACGUCCAAGUCCAAGGAGUGGACUUCGAGGACGUGUUCGCUCCGGUGGCGCGCAUGGACUCGGUGCGCGUACUGGUCGCGCUCGCCGCGCACCACGCGUGGCCAGUUCAUCACAUGGACGUCAAGUCCGCCUUCUUGAACGGGGACUUGCAGGAGGAGGUCUACGUUGUUCAGUCGCCCGGGUACAUUACCCCUGGCGAGGAAGGGAAGGUGAUGCGCCUUCACAAGGCGUUGUACGGACUACGCCAAGCCCCGAGAGCUUGGAACGCCAAGCUGGACGAGAGUCUGCGCUCUCUGGGCUUUGAGCGUUGUCCCUCGGAGCACGCGGUCUACCGACGCGGGGAGGGCGACAAACUUCUGCUCGUCGGUGUGUACGUAGACGAUCUUGUCAUCACGGGCGCGGACAAGACGGAGAUCGACGCGUUCAAGCACCAGAUGACCGCGCUCUUCCGCAUGAGCGACCUUGGUGAGCUCAGCUAUUACCUGGGCAUUGAGGUGCGCCAGGAACGCGACCGCAUCACGCUCUGCCAAGCAGCCUACGCGAAGAAGCUGCUGGAGCGCGCCGGGCUCGAGGACUGCAACCCCGGCAACGUGCCGAUAGAAGCUCGGCUGAAAUUGAGCAGAGACAGCAAGGAGAGGCCGGUGGACAGCUCGGAGUACCGCAGCAUCAUCGGAGGGCUGCGUUACCUCGUGCACACGAGGCCGGACAUCUCUUUCGCCGUCGGCUACCUGAGCCGCUUCAUGGAGGCGCCGGCUUCAGACCAUUACGCGGCUGUGAAGCGUCUGCUAAGGUAUGUGGCAGGCACGCUGGACUACGGUUGUGCCUAUGUCCGGGGCAAGGGCACACCGGAGCUGCUGGGGUACAGCGACGCGGAUCACGCCGGCGACAUCAACGACAGGCGGAGCACAACGGGAGUGCUCUACUUCCUCGGCGGCAGCCCAGUGAGUUGGCAGUCACAGAAACAAAGGGUGGUGGCACUCUCUUCAUGUGAGGCGGAGUAUGUGGCCGCCACCACCGCCGCUUGCCAAGGGAUUUGGCUGGCUCGGCUGAUCGGAGAGAUGCUGAACACCGACGUCCGGCCACCGCGACUUCUGGUCGACAACAAGUCAGCAAUCUCUCUCUCCAAGAACCCUGUCUUCCAUGAUCGAAGCAAACACAUUGAGAUACGAUACCACUUCAUUCGUGAGUGUGUGGAAGAAGGGCGGAUCGACAUCAACUACGUCUGCACCAACGAACAGCUUGCCGACGUCCUCACCAAAGCACUUGGAUGA